UACGGAGGGUGCGAGCGUUGUCCGGAAUCACUGGGCGUAAAGGGCGCGUAGGCGGGCCAGCAAGUCAGGGGUGAAAGCCCACGGCUCAACCGUGGAAGUGCCUCUGAUACUGUUGGCCUCGAGGGAGGUAGGGGCGUGCGGAACUUCCGGUGGAGCGGUGAAAUGCGUAGAUAUCGGAAGGAACAUCGGUGGCGAAAGCGGCGCGCUGGACCUCUACUGACGCUGAGGCGCGAAAGCCAGGGGAGCAAACGGG
rnacentral:rRNA from 1 species